rnacentral:rRNA from 1 species
UACGUAGGGAGCAAGCGUUGUCCGGAAUCAUUGGGCGUAAAGCGCGCGUAGGCGGCCUCAUAAGUCCGCUGUGAAAGUCAAAGGCUCAACCUUUGAAAGCCGGUGGAUACUGUGAGGCUAGAGUACGGAAGAGGCGAGUGGAAUUCCUGGUGUAGCGGUGGAAUGCGCAGAUAUCAGGAGGAACACCGAUAGCGAAGGCAGCUCGCUGGGACGUUACUGACGCUGAGGCGCGAAAGCGUGGGGAGCAAACAGG